AAUGCCGCCAAGCUCGGGCAGGAGCCUCCCGCCCGCUGCUGCCGCGGCCCCGGCGGGCCGGAGGCACAGAAGCGACGCCCUGACCAUCCCCAGGGAGAGUUCUCUGGCCGCGCUGGCUCGAUCAGUGAUCUCAUGGAGAACGCCCUGAACGUGCAAAACCUCCAUGUGCUUGGAGACUGGCAGAGCUGAGCACAGCCACGGGUGAAAACAGCACCCCAGGAGAAAAGCAUUGAAGGAUUCGACAGAAAAAGGAAGAGGUACCGGCAGCCUCUGACAUCGAUGCACCUCUGUGCUUGUAAGAAAUCCUGAUUUUGUUCCUCAAAACUCAGCGCCUAAACUUUGCCUUGGAGCUGCUCAUCUUCAUCACACAGUACAGGAACAGAAAAAACCGCUCUGAAACAGAUACUAAAGAACCUUCUUGCAACAUUCUAGUGUGAAGCUUCUGUGAUUAUCUUUCUGAUUUUGAAGAAGGCAAGGAAGUAAGUCUAUAGUUGAAACUGGGUACAGGAAUCCUGAUCUAUGAAGAAAAUCCAGUUUUGUCCAUGCACCAGAAGUGAAACAAUAACAGUUCUGCUGAAAGAGUUAAAAAACCCCCACCCUUGCUGCUCUCAAUAUCCGUAUUAUAGACAUUGUAAGCAUUAUUAUGAAUAACACUGAACUUGGUUUCUGUUUUGCUCUUGUCCUACUUUGGGUUCUGUGGAAUGGUGUUCAAUAAAAGUUUGACUUCAUGUACAGCCAGAACCCCUUCUCACCAACAGGAAAGCCUAAUAAGCUUCAGAUUAUAUAUUGUUGUUCAACUACAUUAAAAAUAAAGUCAAAGCCCUCAGUUUUUAUAACUCUGUAGUAUUUAUAAAAAAGAAUUUUAAAAUCGUACCUUUUGGGCACUAUUCAUAGCAUUCAUAUUGUAAAAUAAGACCAGAAAAUUUAAGCAUUAUCUCCAGAAUGAAUUCAGUUUUGUGAAUUCUGUGGUUUGUGUUUCAUUGAAAUGCAUUUCAACUUUUAGAAGUUCACUGAAGCAAAAGCCUCCUUUUCAUUACUGCUGUUUCUGUCUGGAGUACGUUAACAGUUCAAAAGCUUUUCUUAACUAGUUUCUGAUUUUUAAUUAUCCACUACAUUUAUAAAGCAUAUCUUUGUGUUUUCUUUAAGUAUAAGGGGACUAAACUAAAGGCUUACACUAAAGAAGUGAUGUUCCUUCCAUGUCACUGAAGUUCUUAGCAUCAGGAAGGAGGCACUGAUAAGGAAUUAGGUAUGUGCACAAAAACAUACAGAGCAGGAGCCUUAGUUUCUAGAUCCCAAAGACUACCAAUAGACUAGACUACCAAUAAGACAUAGUAUUAAAUUUGAAAAAUCAAGUACUUUUAAUUCUGUAGGAUUUUCAGCAAGACAAAUGGUAUUGUUAAGGCUUCUGAGAUCAUAUAUGUGUCUACAAAGAUGCAAGUGAUCCAGUAAUUUAGCAACAAGUUAGACAGGUAUCAUGAAAAGAUUCUAUAUUUGUGCACCACUGAAAAGGGUGAUGAACUGUACCCUGCCAUUCUGAUACGAAGCAUUUGUUUGUUUGGCUUUUUUCCAAAUUAUUACUUGUUUGGCUAUUGGUUAAAAUACCAAACUCAUAGUGAGUUCUCUUGGUGAGAGAAUCCUCAUCAUUUUGUGUGAGAGAACACACACAAAAAAAUUCAAGUACCUGUUUAAAUAUUCACAAGUAUUCUAUUAAUCUACUUCUAAUAUUUCUUAUUGAAUGUACAUUGCAUAGAAUUCCCAUGCAGAACAUGACUGUAAACAAAUUUCUGCUGUGAAGUCAUUAAUGUUAUAAAAAUAACUGGCUCUCUUGAAAAAAAAUAAAUACGAUGUACUAUAA